rnacentral:rRNA from 1 species
CAAAUUUCAAAAGCGGAGGAAAAGAAACUAACAAGGAUUCCCCUAGUAACGGCGAGUGAAGCGGGAAGAGCUCAAAUUUGAAAUCUGGCGGUCUAAGGCCGUCCGAGUUGUAAUCUAGAGAGGUGUUUUCCGUGCCGGACCGUGUACAAGUCCCUUGGAACAGGGCGUCAUAGAGGGUGAGAAUCCCGUCCAUGACACGGACUACCGGUGCUCUGUGAUACACCUUCAAAGAGUCGAGUUGUUUGGGAAUGCAGCUCAAAAUGGGUGGUAAAUUCCAUCUAAAGCUAAAUACAGGCGAGAGACCGAUAGCGAACAAGUACCGUGAGGGAAAGAUGAAAAGAACUUUGGAAAGAGAGUUAAACAGUACGUGAAAUUGUUGAAAGGGAAACGCUUGAAGUCAGUCGCGUCUGCCGGGACUCAGCCUUGCUUCUGCUUGGUGCACUUCUCGGUGGAUGGGCCAGCAUCGAUUUUGAUUGCCGGAAAAGGGCGGGAGGAAUGUGGCAGCUGUUGCUGUGUUAUAGCCUUCUGUCGUACACGGUGGUUGGGAUCGAGGACUGCAGCACGCCUUUGGUCGGGGUUCGCCCACGCCACGUGCUUAGGAUGCUGGCGUAAUGGCUUUAAACGACCCGUCUUGACCACGGAAACAA